CAUUUCAAUCCUAAGAAUUGUAGGCAGUGGCAUGCACUACCUAAAACCCUAGGGGUCUCUGCUUCUCUUAUAUUCUGUUCCUCUAUAUCAUCCUCACUAAACCCUGCCCGAAUUCCUUUUCCACUAAAGCCUACUUUCUUCUGUUUCUGCGCUGGUCCGAUUGUACUGUUUGUAAUUGGAGAAAAUGGAAGGGGAUGCAGAAGAGAGGCAGAUUCAAGCACGAUUUGUUACAAAACUGAAGCCCCCAUUCAAAGCCCCAGUAGCUGCCAUUACUAUCCCAGCUAAUAUCACCCGUCUCGGCCUCUCAACCAUCGUCAAUAGCCUCCUCGAAGCCGGGAAUGCUGACUGGGAUAAUCAGCCUUUUGAUUUUCUUAUUGAUGGAGAGCUUGUCCGUAUGUCACUUGAGCAGUUUCUUCUUGCCAAGGGCAUUUCCGCGGAGAAGAUAUUAGAAAUUGAAUACGUUAAGGCAGUUGUCCCUCGGAAACAGGAGGAGCCUUCUUUGCAUGAUGACUGGGUCAGUGCUGUUGAUGGUUCUUGUCCUCGGUUCAUUUUGACAGGGUGCUAUGAUGGCCUUGGAAGGGUAUGGAAAGCUGCUGGGCUGUGUACGCAUAUACUAGAGGGACACAGUGAUGCAAUUACUUCUGUUAGUAUUAUCUCAUCAGGAGAUGAGGAUAGUGUUACAUUAGCCACUGCCUCAAAAGAUCAAACUCUCAGGCUGUGGAAGUUUGAUACUGAAGAACCUGAAAAUUCUCCUGCAAAGAUCAGGGCCUUCAAAAUUUUGCGUGGGCAUAAUGCAUCUGUGCAAAGUGUUGCAGCUGAAACUUCUGGAAGCAUGAUCUGUUCGGGUUCUUGGGAUUGUACGAUCAAUUUAUGGAGGACAGAUAAGUCUGAUGCUGAAGGUGAUUUAGUGUCAAUUAAGAAGAGAAAAGUGAAAAACAAAUCUGAGGAAUCUCAGUUAGAGGGUGAGGCUACAUCUACAUUUGUGGGCCAUACACAACGCAUAUCGUCUGUUGUUUGGCCGGAACGUGAAACAAUCUACUCUGCAUCAUGGGAUCAUUCCAUUAGACGUUGGGAUGUUGAGACAAGCAAAGAUUCAGCAAAAAUAUUCUGCGGAAAAGCUCUCAACUGCUUACAUGUUGGAGGGGAGGGUUCAGCUCUCGUUGCUGCUGGGGGAUCUGACCCCAUCCUUAGGAUAUGGGAUCCACGAAAACCCGGAACUUCUGCUCCUAUUUAUCAGUUCUCGUCUCACACUGCUUGGGUUUCGGCUUGUAAAUGGCAUGAUAAGUCUUGGUUUCAUUUACUUUCUGCAUCCUAUGAUGGAAAAGUUAUGUUGUGGGAUCUAAGAACUGCGGUACUGUAUUCUCUUUUACUUUUAACUAUUGUGGCCCCUGGCUGUUAUUGAAUCUCAUGAAGACAAGGUACUAUGUGCUGAUUGGUGGAGAGGGGAUUGUGUGGUAAGUGGUGGGGUUGACUGCAAGCUAUGCAUUUCUUCUGACACUGCUGUGCAGUAAGGGAAGAAUUAUGGGGAAAGAUGGAAGCAACUUCUGGAGAACAUGGUUUUGAUACUACAAGGAUCGUUGUCCGUCUCAGGCUCUUAUUAACUCUAGCGAGACGGGGAAGCCUGAUUCUCUGUCAGACAAAGGAGCUGAAGCUGAUUGAUGGAUUUAAGCUCUAGUCACUUUUUUUCCAGACACUUUUAUGUAAUGUUAAUUUUGGCAACUGUGAUAUCUUAUGGGGAUGUCAUUGGGCCAAUAAAUUUUUAUAAAAUUGUAUACGUGGAGAGAAAUUGAUUUGUUAGGUUUUUAAUUUUGAUGGAAAAUUGAUUUGUAGUAAUGAAAAAUGAGACAUGCGCAAGGGUGUGCUGUCCUUUUUUUUUUU